GCGAGGUUGCCGGAGUGGUCAAACGGAACGGGUUUAGGCCCCGUUGGCUUAGUGCCUACGCAGGUUCGAAUCCUGUGCUUCGCA
rnacentral:tRNA from 1 species